rnacentral:rRNA from 1 species
GACGAACGCUGGCGGCGUGCUUAACACAUGCAAGUCGAACGGAAAGGCCCUGCUCGCAGGGUACUCGAGUGGCGAACGGGUGAGUAACACGUGGGUGAUCUGCCCUGCACUUCGGGAUAAGCCUGGGAAACUGGGUCUAAUACCGGAUAGGAGCCAUUCUUAGGGUGAUGGUUGGAAAGUUUUUUCGGUGUAGGAUGAGCUCGCGGCCUAUCAGCUUGUUGGUGGGGUAAUGACCUACCAAGGCGGCGACGGGUAGCCGGCCUGGGAGGGUGGACGGCCACCUUGGGGCUGAGGUAAGGCCCAGACUCCUACGGGGGGCAGCAGUGGGGAAUAUUGCACAAUGGGCGCAAGCCUGAUGCAGCGACGCCGCGUGGGGGAUGACGGCCUUCGGGUUGGAAACCCCUUUCGCUAGGGACGAAGCUUUUUGUGACGGUACCUAGAUAAGAAGCACCGGCUAACUACGUG